rnacentral:rRNA from 1 species
UACCAUGCAGUCGAGCGGAAACGAUACCAGCUUGCUGGUAGGCGUCGAGCGGCGGACGGGUGAGUAAUACUUAGGAAUCUACCUAGUAGUGGGGGAUAGCUCGGGGAAACUCGAAUUAAUACCGCAUACGACCUACGGGAGAAAGGGGGCAGUUUACUGCUCUCGCUAUUAGAUGAGCCUAAGUCGGAUUAGCUAGAUGGUGGGGUAAAGGCCUACCAUGGCGACGAUCUGUAGCUGGUCUGAGAGGAUGAUCAGCCACACCGGGACUGAGACACGGCCCGGACUCCUACGGGAGGCAGCAGUGGGGAAUAUUGGACAAUGGGGGAAACCCUGAUCCAGCCAUGCCGCGUGUGUGAAGAAGGCCUUUUGGUUGUAAAGCACUUUAAGCAGUGAAGAAGACUCUAUGGUUAAUACCCGUGGACGAUGACAUUAGCUGCAGAAUAAGCACCGGCUAACUCUGUGCCAGCAGCCGCGGUAAUACAGAGGGUGCAAGCGUUAAUCGGAAUUACUGGGCGUAAAGCGAGCGUAGGUGGCUUGAUAAGUCAGAUGUGAAAUCCCCGGGCUUAACCUGGGAACUGCAUCUGAAACUGUUAGGCUAGAGUAGGUGAGAGGAAGGUAGAAUUCCAGGUGUAGCGGUGAAAUGCGUAGAGAUCUGGAGGAAUACCGAUGGCGAAGGCAGCCUUCUGGCAUCAUACUGACACUGAGGCUCGAAAGCGUGGGUAGCAAACAGGAUUAGAUACCCUGGUAGUCCACGCCGUAAACGAUGUCUACUAGUCGUUGGGUCCCUUGAGGACUUAGUGACGCAGCUAACGCAAUAAGUAGACCGCCUGGGGAGUACGGCCGCAAGGUUAAAACUCAAAUGA